AUUUCAUGUUGUAUGCAUUUUCUAAACAUCUCCUUGUAUCUCUCCCAAGUGUCAUACAAGAAUUCUGAUUCCAACUGCAGGAAGGAGGAGAUAUCAUUCCUCAAAUU